UACAGAGGUCUCAAGCGUUGUUCGGAUUCAUUGGGCGUAAAGGGUGCGUAGGUGGUGAUGCAAGUCUGGUGUGAAAUCUCGGAGCUCAACUCCGAAAUUGCACCGGAUACUGCGUGACUCGAGGACUGUAGAGGAGAUCGGAAUUCACGGUGUAGCAGUGAAAUGCGUAGAUAUCGUGAGGAAGACCAGUUGCGAAGGCGGAUCUCUGGGCAGUUCCUGACACUGAGGCACGAAGGUCAGGGGAGCAAACGGG
rnacentral:rRNA from 1 species